rnacentral:rRNA from 1 species
GCAGUCGACGGUAACAGGAAAUAGCUUGCUAUUUUGCUGACGAGUGGCGCACGGGUGCGUAACGCGUAUACAAUCUACCUUUUGCUGAGGGAUAGCCCAGAGAAAUUUGGAUUAAUACCUCAUGGUAUUAUUGAUAGGCAUCUAUUAAUAAUUAAAGGUUACGGCAAAAGAUGAGUAUGCGUCCCAUUAGCUAGUUGGUGAAGUAACGGUUCACCAAGGCAACGAUGGGUAGGGGUCCUGAGAGGGAGAUCCCCCACACUGGUACUGAGACACGGACCAGACUCCUACGGGAGGCAGCAGUGAGGAAUAUUGGACAAUGGGCGAGAGCCUGAUCCAGCCAUGCCGCGUGCAGGAAGACUGCCCUAUGGGUUGUAAACUGCUUUUAUACAGGAAGAAUAAGCCUUACGUGUAAGGUGAUGACGGUACUGUAAGAAUAAGGACCGGCUAACUCCGUGCCAGCAGCCGCGGUAAUACGGAGGGUCCGAGCGUUAUCCGGAAUUAUUGGGUUUAAAGGGUCCGUAGGCGGAUGAUUAAGUCAGGGGUGAAAGUUUGCAGCUCAACUGUAAAAUUGCCUUUGAUACUGGUCAUCUUGAGUUGUAUUGAAGUA